UUGGUUGCGUAGAAUCAUCAUUGACAGAAGAAGGCUUGUUUGUUCUACAGCAAAAUUAUGGCGAUGGGAUUUGAUGAAAAAUUCAUCAGAACAUGGGAAUACUACUUUGACUAUUGUGCUGCUGGAUUCAAGGCUUAUACAAUUGGAGUUUAUCAGGUUGUAUUUUCACGUCCUUGUAAUAUCGGAGCAUUAGGGCAUCCAUAUAAAGGUUUUCCGUCGGCAUAUUCAGACCUGUCUUCCUGAGAUCUGAGACAAACCAACCAUGCUCCAUAUCUAGUCUAGUAUUUAAUAAGUAUGAUGCGUAGAGUUUCCUUUUGCUUUGCAACACUUUUCUUUGCUAUUUGUGGAACCACCGUGACAAGGGAAACUUUUCCAUCGCUUUCAAAGAACUGCUUCCUUGAAUAAAUUCCAUGAUAUCCUUUAAUUUCUUUUUC